AUUGAUUAUACGAAUGUGCGGAUAAUAUAACUCUAAAACUGGAAUCUUAGCGUGCCAAUCUCCUACAUUUACAAGUUUUUGAGAAAGAAACUUGGUUUUGUGAACAAAGACGAGAUUGAAAUUACAUGUAUGGGGAUACCUGUGCUCCCAACAACAACAGCAGAUGAAUUGGUUGAGUUUUGGCUG